GGCACCUUGGCGCAGUUGGCUAGCGCAUCUGUCUAACAGUCUACAUAAGUAUGCUGGCGCACAGAAGGUCUUGAGUUCGAGCCUCAAAGGUGUCA